UACAGAGGGGGCAAGCGUUAUUCGGAAUUAUUGGGCGUAAAGGGCGCGUAGGCGGCUUUGCAAGUGACGGGUGAAAUCCCUCGGCUUAACCGAGGAACUGCCUGUCAGACUGCAUGGCUCGAGACCAGGAGAGGUGAGUGGAAUUCCCAGUGUAGCGGUGAAAUGCGUAGAUAUUGGGAGGAACACCAGUGGCGAAGGCGGCUCACUGGCCCGUAACUGACGCUGAGGCACGAAAGCGUGGGGAGCAAACAGG
rnacentral:rRNA from 1 species